rnacentral:piRNA from 1 species
UCCAUGAAGAGAGAAGAAACUGCAUACC